UAAUUCCACUUAUGGGGUGGCAAACUCCUCUUAUCA
rnacentral:tRNA from 1 species